CAGCAGCCGCGGGAAUACGGAGGGGGCUAGCGUUGUUCGGAAUUACUGGGCGUAAAGCGCACGUAGGCGGCUUGGUAAGUUAGAAGUGAAAGCCUGGAGCUCAACUCCAGAAUUGCCUUUAAGACUGCCGAGCUAGCAGGUGAGAGAGGUAAGUGGAAUUCCGAGUGUAGAGGUGAAAUUCGUAGAUAUUCGGAGGAACACCAGUGGCGAAGGCGGCUCACUGGUCCAUUACUGACGCUGAGGUGCGAAAGCGUGGGGAGCAAACAGGAUUAGAUACCCCCGUAGUCCCUGUCUCUUAUAA
rnacentral:rRNA from 1 species